rfam:Jonquetella anthropi DSM 22815 chromosome, whole genome shotgun sequence.
GGAGAGGUGGCUGAGCGGUCGAAAGCGCUUGACUCGAAAUCAAGUGAGGGGCUUGCUCCUCCGAGAGUUCAAAUCUCUCCCUCUCCG